GAGUUUGAUCGUGGCUCAGAUUGAACGCUGGCGGCAGGCCUAACACAUGCAAGUCGAGCGGUAGAGAGAAGCUUGCUUCUCUUGAGAGCGGCGGACGGGUGAGUAAUGCCUAGGAAUCUGCCUGGGUAGUGGGGGAUAACGUUCGGAAACGGACGCUAAUACCGCAUACGUCCUACGGGAGAAAGCAGGGGACCUUCGGGCCUUGCGCUAUCAGAUGAGCCUAGGUCGGAUUAGCUAGUUGGUGAGGUAAUGGCUCACCAAGGCGACGAUCCGUAACUGGUCUGAGAGGAUGAUCAGUCACACUGGAACUGAGACACGGUCCAGACUCCUACGGGAGGCAGCAGUGGGGAAUAUUGGACAAUGGGCGAAAGCCUGAUCCAGCCAUGCCGCGUGUGUGAAGAAGGUCUUCGGAUUGUAAAGCACUUUAAGUUGGGAGGAAGGGUUGUAGAUUAAUACUCUGCAAUUUUGACGUUACCGACAGAAUAAGCACCGGCUAACUCUGUGCCA
rnacentral:rRNA from 1 species